UACGUAGGGCGCAAGCGUUAUCCGGAAUUAUUGGGCGUAAAGAGCUCGUAGGCGGUUUGUCGCGUCUGCUGUGAAAACUCGGGGCUUAACUCCGGGCCUGCAGUGGGUACGGGCAGACUAGAGUGCGGUAGGGGAGACUGGAAUUCCUGGUGUAGCGGUGAGAUGCGUAGAUAUCAGGAGGAAUACCGGUGGUGUAGACGGCUCUCUGGACCGCCACUGACGCUGAGACACGAAGGCCAGGGGAGCAAACGGG
rnacentral:rRNA from 1 species